rnacentral:rRNA from 1 species
UACGGGGGGAGCAAGCGUUGUUCGGAUUUACUGGGCGUAAAGGGCGCGUAGGCGGCCACCGCAAGUCGACUGUGAAAUCUCCGGGCUUAACCCGGAAAGGUCAGCCGAUACUGCGGGGCUAGAGUGCAGAAGGGGCAACUGGAAUUCUCGGUGUAGCGGUGAAAUGCGUAGAUAUCGAGAGGAACACCUGCGGCGAAGGCAAUCCCCUGGACCUGUACUGACGCUCAUGCACGAAAGCGUGGGGAGCAAACAGG